UACGGAGGUGGCAAGCGUUAUCCGGAUUUACUGGGCGUAAAGCGCGUGCAGGCUGUUCACCACGUGGGGUGUGAAAGCGCUCGGCUCAACCGGGCAAGGGUAUGCCAGACUGGUGGACUAGAGUCUGAAAGAGGGUGGUGGAAUUCCGGGUGUAGUGGUGAAAUGCGUAGAGAUCCGGAGGAACCCCAGAGGCGAAGGCGGCCGCCUGGUUCAGCACUGACGCUCAGACACGACAGCAUGGGGAGCGAACGGG
rnacentral:rRNA from 1 species